CAGCCCGCGAAUUGCUGGUUGUGCCAUUCGAUAAUUCAACGCUAAAAAAGGCGCAACCCUGUUUUCCCUGGUGUUGGCGCAGUAUUCGCGCACCCCGGCCUGGCC
rnacentral:sRNA from 1 species